rnacentral:rRNA from 1 species
UUUACGGAGAGUUUGAUCCUGGCUCAGGACGAACGUUGGCGGCGCGCAUAAUGCAUGCAAGUCGAACGAAGUCCCACCCUUCGGGGUGAUGACUUAGUGGCAGACGGCUGAGUAACACGUGAGUGAUCUGCCUUUGGGUGAGGGACAACAGAGGGAAACUUCUGCUAAUACCUCAUACGAUCCAUGAUCUAAGGUCUUGGAUGAAAGGUGCCGGGUAACUGGUUGCCGCCCUUAGAUGAGCUCGCGGCCUAUCAGGUUGUUGGUGGGGUAAUAGCCUACCAAGCCUAAGACGGGUAACUG